CAAUAGCGUAUAUUAAAGUUGUUGCAGUUAAAAAGCUCGUAGUCGGAUGUCGGGCUCGGGCAGGCUGUCGGCUUCGGUCGGACGGCAGGCUCGGGUCUUUCUGCCUGAGGAUCCCGUUGCACUUAAUUGUGGGGCGUGGGGACGCAGGCCGUUUACUUUGAAAAAAUUAGAGUGUUCAAAGCAGGCCUACGCUUGAAUACAUUAGCAUGGAAUAAUGGAAUAGGACUUUGGUGCUAUUUUGUUGGUUUAUGGGACCGAAGUAAUGAUUAACAGGGACAGUUGGGGCCGUUUAUAUUUCGUUGUCAGAGGUGAAAUUCUUGGAUUUGUUGAAGACGAUCUACUGCGAAAGCAUUUGCCAGGGAUGUUUUCAUUGA
rnacentral:rRNA from 1 species